ACAGCAGUAGCCGCGGGAAUACGGAGGGUGCAAGCGUUAAUCGGAAUUACUGGGCGUAAAGCGCACGCAGGCGGUUUGUUAAGUCAGAUGUGAAAUCCCCGAGCUUAACUUGGGAACUGCAUUUGAAACUGGCAAGCUAGAGUCUUGUAGAGGGGGGUAGAAUUCCAGGUGUAGCGGUGAAAUGCGUAGAGAUCUGGAGGAAUACCGGUGGCGAAGGCGGCCCCCUGGACAAAGACUGACGCUCAGGUGCGAAAGCGUGGGGAGCAAACAGGAUUAGAUACCCGAGUAGUCCCUGUCUCUUAUAC
rnacentral:rRNA from 1 species